UACGUAGGGCGCAAGCGUUGUCCGGAAUUAUUGGGCGUAAAGAGCUCGUAGGCGGCCUGUUACGUCUGCUGUGAAAUCCCGGGGCUUAACCCCGGGCGUGCAGUGGAUACGGGCAGGCUGGAGGCAGGCAGGGGAGAACGGAAUUCCCGGUGUAGCGGUGAAAUGCGCAGAUAUCGGGAGGAACACCGGUGGCGAAGGCGGUUCUCUGGGCCUGACUGACGCUGAGGAGCGAAAGCGUGGGGAGCGAACAGG
rnacentral:rRNA from 1 species